UGUCAUGUGUGCCCUCAGUUAGUUG
rnacentral:misc_RNA from 1 species